UGGGGAAUCUUGCGCAAUGGGCGAAAGCCUGACGCAGCGACGCCGCGUGUGGGAUGAAGGUCUUCGGAUUGUAAACCACUGUCGGGAGGGACGAAGCUCUGACGGUACCUCCAAAGGAAGCACCGGCUAACUCUGUGCCAGCAGCCGCGGUAAUACAGAGGGUGCGAGCGUUGUCCGGAAUCACUGGGCGUAAAGGGCGCGUAGGCGGCCUGGUAAGUAGGGGGUGAAAUCUCAUGGCUCAACUGUGAGGCUGCCUUCUAGACUGCUGGGCUUGAGCACGGUAGAGGCUGGUGGAAUUCCCGGUGUAGCGGUGGAAUGCGUAGAGAUCGGGAGGAACAUCGGUGGCGAAGGCGGCCAGCUGGGCCGUUGCUGACGCUGAGGCGCGAAAGCGUGGGGAGCAAACAGGAUUAGAUACCCCG
rnacentral:rRNA from 1 species